UUCGCCUUUCACCCUUUGGAGACGGAUUUCGCCUUCUCUUGAAUCUCAUCUUUCUGUUAGCCAUAUCUUCCUAUCAGACUCUGAAACAAAAAACUCCACCACUCACCACCUCUUUGAUACUCCCAGAGGACUUUGUGGUUUUAUCUACCUUAAUCCUAAAUUUCCCUGGGAAAGCAAUGAGAACUGGCUUCGACCUCUGCUUUAGGAUGUGUUCCUUCAUGUGACCCUUCUUCCCCACGAUCUCAGGCUGAAAAGUUGUAGGUCAGGUUUGUUCGUCCUGGUAAAGAUUCCUGUUUCCCAGAGUAGCAGGCACGCGGUGGUCUCAGCCUCUUGGUCCUACCCUGUGGCUGCUGCUGCGCAGACGCACUGGGAGGCACGGGUCUGUUGUCAGACAAGGGCGGCAAAGCUGAUCUCCCAGGAACUUCGGUAGACCAGAGCUUGCUUUCGUGUGCAGCCAGGGGACACGCAGCCUUCACCAACGGUAAUGACAGACUGAAGAGGAGUCCUUCACUUAAUCCUGCCCAAAGGGGCCACGAUCCUUCCCCCAGCACCGGCCCCGCCGCCCUUCCUCGACCCCCUCCACACUGGCCUAGAAGCGUAAGGGAUGAAAAGCAGAAAAUAAACACUUGUCCCAUCACUGA